GAUGAACGCUGGCGGCGUGCCUAAUACAUGCAAGUCGAGCGAACGGACGAGAAGCUUGCUUCUCUGAUGUUAGCGGCGGACGGGUGAGUAACACGUGGAUAACCUACCUAUAAGACUGGGAUAACUUCGGGAAACCGGAGCUAGUACCGGAUAAUAUUUUGAACCGCAUGGUUCAAAAGUGAAAGACGGUCUUGCUGUCACUUAUAGAUGGAUCCGCGCUGCAUUAGCUAGUUGGUAAGGUAACGGCUUACCAAGGCAACGAUGCAUAGCCGACCUGAGAGGGUGAUCGGCCACACUGGAACUGAGACACGGUCCAGACUCCUACGAGAGGCAGCAGUAGGGAAUCUUCCGCAAUAGGCGAAAGCCUGACGGAGCAACGCCGCGUGAGUGAUGAAGGUCUUCGGAUCGUAAAACUCUGUUAUUAGGGAAGAACAUAUGUGUAAGUAACUGUGCACAUCUUGACGGUACCUAAUCAGAAAGCCACGGCUAACUACGUG
rnacentral:rRNA from 1 species